rnacentral:pre_miRNA from 1 species
ACUCUAAAUGGCAGCACUGUCUGUGGUCUAAAACAAGAUCGUGCAGCCUUUUAGAGUGU